rnacentral:lncRNA from 1 species
UAAAUGUCAGUAAAGAAAGCAAGUGUGGCCCAUUGAGAGAAAAUGUGGCACAAGCCAAGAGUUCACAGCACUUGAAGUGGUAAAGGCAGAUCCAGGUUGAGGCUCUGUUCUGCCCAGUUUAUGAUGAAAUAGUGAUAGCGGAUUUCUUCCUUUUCACCUGUUCCUGCCCCACUUGCCUGUCAAAGUCAGCCAGCACACUUUCCUCAGCAAAUGGGUGGUGGGUUCUGGGCAAAACAAUGUUAUAAUAAAAACAGAAAAGGUAAACCAUGCCAU